rnacentral:rRNA from 1 species
GACGUAGGGCGCGAGCGUUGUCCGGAUUUAUUGGGCGUAAAGAGCUCGUAGGCGGUUUGUCGCGUCGUCCGUGAAAACCUGUGGCUUAACUACAGGCUUGCGGUCGAUACGGGCAGGCUAGAGUUCGGUAGGGGAGACUGGAAUUCCUGGUGUAGCGGUGAAAUGCGCAGAUAUCAGGAGGAACACCAAUGGCGAAGGCAGAUCUCUGGGCCGUUACUGACGCUGAGGAGCGAAAGCAUGGGGAGCGAACAGG